UCUAGUAAUUAGCCGGUCAUGGAGAUCUCUAGCUGUUGAAUGAGAUGUGCUUUGUUAGGGCUGGAGUAAAAAUCCAUAGGACGGUUGAUCUCCGGGAACAGGGUUGGGCAGCCCUGCUCUAUACCAAUGUGUUCUUUUUGUUGUGGACUUUGUAACCAGAAUUUUACUUUUUGGAGUCACGCACGUACAUAAGCAAAUUUUUUAGUGUUUAUGCAAAUUUGCAUAAACACUUUGAGAGAACAGAAGUCUAGAGAGCUCUUCACAAACAAAAGUUUCCCUGGAGUGUCAUAUUUAUGGUUGGGGACCUCAGGAACAAGUGUGUGUUUGAGGAACUUUGUGUUCUGUCGAUGGUCCGCACACCUGCGGGCUGUCUCCCGCCAUGUUGAAUGCACGUGGGAGUGCCAGUGUUUAAGCGUAGCUGCAGUCAGGAUGUGACGCUGUCAUGUGCAAAAUUUCCAGCCCGUAUUUUUAAUGCCCUUGGAUUCAUAUUUACUGUGUCAUAGUUAGCUAAAUGGCAACCGUCAACAUGUUCAUGUAGGUACACGUGCGGUGGAUGCCAAAAUAGGUUUCGCUGUCUGUUACUUUUGAAAUGAUACACUAAUUGUGAUGUUAUAGCCUGGAUUGAAUCUAUGUCACUUAUUAUUUUUUACUCAUAAACAAAAGCAAAAAUUGUUUUAUUUUACCUUCAAAAUCACAACUUAGCACCUUUUUGGUAACUCAGAUUCAUCAAAGACAUUGUAUUUGCACUGGAAAUGGUAAAACCAAUAUGCACUUUGAAGUCAAACUCACAGUUAAGGACAUAUUUGGAUUAUCCAAUCUGUUUGGAUUGUACCAAUAUGUUUCACCUUAAAACCUAUUUACAAAGAUAUGUGUACAACAUAUGUUCCCCAUAUGUCACUUUACUUUACUAUACUUUAUGAUAUUUUGUAUACAUUAGUCUAUGAUUGGCCAAAAUUUACUGAAAGCUCUUCCCUUCGGUAAUAAUUGGAUAAAUAAAGACGCAUAGUGGCAUACUCUAAAGUGAUCCUUAUUAAGCUGUUUCCAUCACAUGCAGUAAUGAAUCGAACGGCUUUUAGGACCCCUCCAAGCUCAAGCAGAUGUAUAAAAUAUCUUAAUGCCCUCUGGGGUUUCUGUAUCUUUUGAGGUGUAUCAUUCACCAAUAAAUAUCUUGAUUUGUG